rnacentral:rRNA from 1 species
AUUGAACGCUGGCGGCAUGCCUUACACAUGCAAGUCGAACGGUAACAGGUCUUCGGACGCUGACGAGUGGCGAACGGGUGAGUAAUACAUCGGAACGUGCCUAGUAGUGGGGGAUAACUACUCGAAAGAGUGGCUAAUACCGCAUGAGAUCUACGGAUGAAAGCAGGGGAUCGCAAGACCUUGUGCUACUAGAGCGGCCGAUGGGAGAGUAGGUAGAGUUGGUGGGAUAAAAGCUUACCAAGCCGACGAUCUGUAGCUGGUCUGAGAGGACGAUCAGCCACACUGGGAAUGAGAAACGGCCCAGACUCCUACGGGAGGCAGCAGUGGGAAAUUUUGGACAAUGGGCGCAAGCCUGAUCCAGCAAUGCCGCGUGCAGGAUGAAGGCCUUCGGGUUGUAAACUGCUUUUGUACGGAACGAAAAGCCCCGGGUUAAUACCCUGGGGUCAUGACGGUACCGUAAGAAUAAGCACCGGCUAACUACGUGCCAGCCGCCGCCGUAA